rnacentral:lncRNA from 1 species
CGCAACAUAGAUCUCCACAACCACUUACAUAGUAGGCUCUUACAGUUUUAGAUUCUUCGCCCAUAAACCAACUCCUUUCUUGCCUUCUAUCACAUUUUUCCAAUUAACCAAGCGCAUAUUCAUCUUUUCCAAGUUUCCUUCUCAUAAAACAUCACAUCUCAGCUUGUGAAUUGGAUGGUACAAAUGAGAGAGAAAUGCCCUUACUUAUAGGGUAGAAAGCUCAUGCUAAUGUCAUCAACGACAUCAACAAC